CUGAGAGGACGACCAGCCACACUGGGACUGAGACACGGCCCAGACUCCUACGGGAGGCAGCAGUGGGGAAUUUUGGACAAUGGGGCAACCCUGAUCCAGCAAUGCCGCGUGCAGGAAGAAGGCCUUCGGGUUGUAAACUGCUUUUGUCAGGGAAGAAAUCCUCUGGGUUAAUACCUCGGGGGGAUGACGGUACCUGAAGAAUAAGCACCGGCUAACUACGUGCCAGCAGCCGCGGUAAUACGUAGGGUGCGAGCGUUAAUCGGAAUUACUGGGCGUAAAGCGUGCGCAGGCGGCUUUGCAAGACAGAUGUGAAAUCCCCGGGCUCAACCUGGGAACUGCAUUUGUGACUGCAAGGCUAGAGUACGGCAGAGGGGGAUGGAAUUCCGCGUGUAGCAGUGAAAUGCGUAGAUAUGCGGAGGAACACCGAUG
rnacentral:rRNA from 1 species